CUCGCCCCCGAGGGGGGCAGCCCGGAGAGGCAGCAGGGGAGUUUCAGUCUGAAGAGUCAACUGAUUAUGCAGCAGAGCCAUCCCUGUUGCUUCUCCUAGCUCCCCAGUCCCUGGUCCCUCCACUCCUGCUGCUGCACCCACAGGCCCACAGAGGAGGACAGCUCAAAAGCGGUCGAGGGACGGGUCCCAGGAUGGUCCAUUGGCGGUGGAGCUGGCCAUCCUGGAGUCACUGAAGAGGCCACGCCCGUCUCCAACGGAGUAUUUCCUCCUUGGCCUUGCUCCUGCUCUGGAGAGCCUGCCGCCUCAGACACGAGAAUUCGUGAAAUUCCAAAUGCACAAAUUACUUUUUGAAAGCAGCACAGCUGUGUUAAAUUUGGAAACAUUGGACCCUAGCGAUCAGUAGUUUUCUGAUGAGGCAGCAGGCUCUCCAGGGCAGAAACAAUGUUCUUAUUUUUCUCCUCAUUCUCCCUGAGGCUCUUCUAUUCCAAGCUGGGUCCUUUUUG
ensembl:lncRNA